AUGCCCCUGACCAAGCCGCAGCAGCGGCCACAGCCCCGGUGGAGGGAGUGGGACCGCAGGGCCCAGAAGGACGGGCUGCGGGGCCAGGUGCACGCCACCAACGGCGACCGCUACGUGGGCGAGUGGAGAGACGGCAAGAAGCACGGGAAGGGAACCCAGAUCUGGAAGAAAGGGGCCGUCUAUGAGGGUGACUGGAAGCACGGGAAGCGAGACGGCCACGGCACCCUGAGCCUCCCAGACCCCGAGACCGGCAGACACCGGAGGGUGUACUCGGGCUGGUGGAGGGGCGACAAGAAGUGGGGCUACGGGGUCCAGUUUUAUGGAGACGAGGAGUAUUACGAGGGCGAGUGGUGCGGCAACCAGCGCAGUGGGUGGGGCCGUAUGUACUACAGCAACGGCGACAUCUUCGAAGGCCAGUGGCGGGACGACAAGCCCGACGGGGAGGGCAUGCUUCGGCUCAAGGGCGGGAACCGCUACGAGGGCAGCUGGCAGAGAGGCAUGAAGAACGGCCCCGGGCGCUUCUUCCACCUGGACCACGGGCAGCUCUUCGAAGGCUUCUGGGUGGACAACGUGCCCAAGUGUGGCACCAUGACCGACUUCGGCCGCGACGAGGCCCCGGAGCCCACCCAGUUCCCGAUUCCCCAGGUGGGCGGCUCGGCGGGCAGGACAGGGCAGCCGUCCCCUACACCGGGCAGGCGGAGCAGCACUCCGGCGCCACACCCAGCCUGGCCAGGCAGGCCCGGCCGGGAACAGAGGUGGUUUUGUUUUCAGUCAGGUGAUCCCGAGUCAGGCAGCACCCCAAGGCUGGCAGCACCCCAAAGCCGGCAGCCCAGCCCUUCUGUGCUCCCAGUCCACCCCUGGCUGCCUCCCUACAGGUCAAACUGGUGGACCCCGACGGCGUGCUAGAAGCAGCCUUGGCCUCGUUUAAGGCGCCAGAGAAAGCAGGAGCCUGAUGUCAGCGCUGCCCAGACCGGCCUGUGCGGACCCGGGCUGCCCAGGGGACAGCUUGCAGCCAGAGGUGCGCUCUUCCAGCCCCGCCCCACCGAGUGGCGUGAGAGCAGAGUUUCGGCCCCGCCCCGCGAGAGCCGGUCAGGAGCGCGUGAGCCCCCUGCCCACGCCUCCCAGGGCGUUGCCUGAGCGGCCCACAGCCGACACCGCCCACGCGGGCCUGGGACUCCCGUCACCCCCGGACUCCAGCCCUGCUCUGGAGAAUAAAGCGGAAGCCGGUGGCACUCGCCUGGGCCGUGGGGUGACACCAAAGGUGGGGGCUCACUCCCAGUCACUGCAGAGAUGGAAGACUCACCAGAGGGCAAAGGCGCGCGGGGCCUCGGGGCGCAGUGUGGGAUGUACCGAGGCCGUGAAGCAGGCUGGGGUCCCAGGCCGAGCCUGACCCAACACAGGGCUGGGGUCCCUCGCAUGGGGAGAGGCGCUGGGGGCCCGGGCCUCCGCUGUCAGCGCCAUCCUGUGAGGGGCAGCGGAAGCCCCGGGGCCUUCCCCGGCCAUCUGGCCGGGUGGUGGCUGCGGGCCAGUGCUGCGGUGCUCACCGCUCGCCAGCGGUGUUGGCCAGCGCCCUGAAGCGGGGGCACUCGCCGGGCCAGCACGCACCCGCGAGCGCCCACACCGCAGCGUGGCGGCUACCGCAGGGGCGGCCUGGCCCUGGAGACCCGCUGUGCCCAGCAUGGGCGGCUGUCCUGCGCACGAGGCCACUGCGGGAGGCCAGUGGCCGGGCGCCUGAGGCUUGGCCGGGAGGGCUCCGUGGCCAGCAGGCGGGUGCUGGCCUGGCCCUGCGCCCCUGCAGGUUAAUAAAGCUGAGGCUGCAGGUUGUCAUCUCUGCUCC